ensembl:snoRNA small nucleolar RNA SNORA5
UGCAGUCUUGUCAAAUUCAGUGCGUCCUCCUCCAUGGUUGGCACUGGCCGAAAUGGCUGCUACAGUCAUGGUGUGGUUCAUGGGCCCCACGGCACUUUACUGUGGCCUCUGGGGAUAAAUAUGUGCUACACACAAAC